UGCAGUCGAGCGCCCCGCAAGGGGAGCGGCAGACGGGUGAGUAACGCGUGGGAAUCUACCCAUCUCUACGGAACAACUCCGGGAAACUGGAGCUAAUACCGUAUACGUCCUUUUGGAGAAAGAUUUAUCGGAGAUGGAUGAGCCCGCGUUGGAUUAGCUAGUUGGUGGGGUAAUGGCCUACCAAGGCGACGAUCCAUAGCUGGUCUGAGAGGAUGAUCAGCCACAUUGGGACUGAGACACGGCCCAAACUCCUACGGGAGGCAGCAGUGGGGAAUAUUGGACAAUGGGCGCAAGCCUGAUCCAGCCAUGCCGCGUGAGUGAUGAAGGCCCUAGGG
rnacentral:rRNA from 1 species